rnacentral:rRNA from 1 species
GACGAACGCUGGCGGCGUGCUUAACACAUGCAAGUCGAACGGAAAGGCCCUGCUUUUGUUGGUUUCUCGAUUGGCGAACGGGUGAGUAACACGUGAGUAACCUGCCCUUGACUUUGGGAUAACUUCAGGAAACUGGGGCUAAUACCGGAUAGGAGCUCCUGCUGCAUGGUGGGGGUUGGAGAGUGUCGGCGGUUGGGGAUGGACUCGCGGCUUAUCAGCUUGUUGGUGGGGUAGUGGCUUACCAAGGCUUUGACGGGUAGCCGGCCUGAGAGGGUGACCGGCCACAUUGGGACUGAGAUACGGACCAGAAUCCUACGGGAGGCAGCAGUGGGGAAUAUUGCACAAUGGGAGGAAGCCUGAUGCAGCAACGCCGCGUGCGGGAUGACGGCCUUCGGGUUGUAAACAGCUUUCGCCUGUGACGAAGCGUGAGUGACGGUAAUGGGUAAAGAAGCACCGGCUAACUACGUG